UUCUUUUGUUCUUGAUUAUUUUCUUUUUGUCCCCAAGAAAGGAUUUUUCUACAUUGAAAUUGUGAGCGCAAGUUCAAUUUCUUUGUGACGCACAUAAUUAUAUCUAGAACAGGUGCUUCCAAGAUGGGCAAACAUCCUUCAUGCACGAUGGAUCCUCUCAAGUAGAAAGCUGCCAGUUUCUACUCACUUAGGGAAAAUGACACACGGGUUAGAUCUAAAGCUAUUUGUUUUGACAGUUUUUUGAUUGCUGAUUUCGUGCGUCAAUAAAUUUUUUUACAGACUCGGGUGCAAUAUAACGUGGUUGACUUUUUCAUGCUCCAAGUGUCUCAACAACUGUUAGGUUCCCCUGAGCCAAUAACUAUUAAGUUGCUUGUGAAGAAGGUGAUUUGCAGUUUCAAAACAUCACGUGCGGUCAAGAGAAAAAGUAGAAAACAUGAAAACAGAAGAAACCUAAGCCAAAUGUUUUAUGAUCCUCCAAAAUACUAUUCUUUAUAAACUAUUUACUGAGGUUGAUUCUUGGGGCACAGUCAUGGGGUUUUUAUCAUGCUCUUUGUAAAUGCAACACUAAAUCACCAGCUUUAGAAGGAGAGAAUAAAGAAGAAUUUGAAGAUGAGGUCAAUCUCAUAUUUUUGUCAAGAAAUAGAAUAAUACCAUUAUAAAGAAGGAAUUG